UCCAGGUUAUCCCUGGCGGUCUCCUGAGAGUGCAUCCUUACGGAUUAGCAACACAGGACAAGGGUUGCGCUCGUUGCGGGACUUAACCCAACAUCUCACGACACGAGCUGACGACAGCCAUGCAGCACCUCGACUACGGUCCCUUGCGGGAGGGCCCUUAUUUCUAAAGGCUUGCCGCAGCCGUUCGAGCCCAGGUAAGGUUCUUCGCGUUGCGUCGAAUUAAACCACAUGCUCCACCGCUUGUGCGGGCCCCCGCCAAUUCCUUUGAGUUUUAGCCUUGCGGCCGUACUCCCCGGGCGGGGCACUUAAUGCGUUAGCGCCGGCACGGGGGGAGUCGACACCCCCCACACCUAGUGCCCAUCGUUUACGGCGUGGACUAC
rnacentral:misc_RNA from 1 species